GUCAGCGCGCGCCACCGCCCCGCCCGCCGCCGGCCCCGCCCCCGUUGCCAUGGCGGCGGCGGCGGCCGGGGGACACGGGCUGCAAAGCGGCCCCGAAACCGAGCCCUCGAGGCGCCCCAGGGCUCCCCGAGUCACCCCAGCUUGCCAGCUCGACAUCCCGGAGGAACUUCUACUUCUCCCAGGAGCUUUUGCCCAGAUAUUGAGAAUGAGGAAACAACAGGGUUGUCAUACUUAGUAGGAUGAAGAGGCUAUGGAAACAAACAUGGACUGAUCCAGUGGCAUGCAGCUGUGAUGGAAGGACAUCCUGGUUGCUCUGCACAGCUUUACCUGGUUCAAUUUCUGAGGCCUGAAGAUGAAGCAGCAAAAUGUGCAGAUGAGAUGUGUUGGACACUGGACUCAUGGGAAACCCCUGGAUGCUCUCUCUGGACCCUGUUCUCCAUUGCCCUAAAUAUUUUGUAGUUGUUUACAUGUGCAGCAGAUGCAAGGGCUUGUCUCUGACUGGAUGCAUUCCAGAUUGUCCUUUGGGAUAUAGCCCAGUGAGCAGAAGAAAUGGGUUUGAACUUGGCAAAAUGGCAAUAAGCAUAAAGGAAGAAACUGGAGAGCUGCUUCAUCAGUGCCAAUCCAGACUGUGGUUGGUCUCAUGAAAAGGACCCUAUUGACAAAUUAGUACAGCUACCCUCCCAGCCAUGAAAGAAUACCUCAUACAAAAAAAUCCAUAGGUCACUAAUAGGUGUGAUAAGCAGCCUGUGAGAUUUGGGAGAAACAUUCUGGUAUACCUGGAAAUCAACCUAGAUCUAAAUUACCUGCCAUUGUGGAUAUUUUAGUCUUAAUUAAUGCUUUUCCACCACAUUUCAGAACGUAUCCUUUAUCUGAACAGCUUUGCUUUCUUGUUUGUUUGUUUGUUUUUUUAUGUUUGUCAGUCAUUACACAGUGCUAUUUAGAAUCAAUUUAGUACCCUUCCAUGUGUUGAGUGGUUGUGGUGAGUGGUGAGUGAUGAUUGCAGGAUUAGCAUGCUAGUAAUUAAAUGUUGCUGCCUCUCAGCUUGAAAAUGAAACAUCUCUUUGGAAUUAAGAGUUUCUUGCUUUAUUUAGGUUGGGCAUGUCUAAAUAGCAUAGGUAGGUUUACCUAUGCUAUUAAGUCAGUGCUAUUUAAGUCAAUGCAGGCACAGUGCAAUCAUAAAAUAAUAAAAUUUAAAAAGCAAAAUGAAGAAGGGGGAAGAGUUGAGAGAGAGGAAGAAGAGAAGAAGAAAUUGAGAGAAGGAAAACAAAUUCAACCAAUCAUUAAAACUUUGAAUUGCAUGGGAAAUUUUCUACACUUUGCUGAAUCUUGGGUGUAAUUUCCUAAUUUUGGGUUUGUGCUAUCCAGAUAAAGGUUUCCUGUCUGGACUCAUUUUUACUCACAGAUGGGUCUUCAAAAUUUUAAGUGUUAAGUUGUGUAAAAUAGGACGUGUUGCCUGUUUGUUGAAGCCUGGGGGGGUACCUGUCUCAGUAAAGUAGAGGCUGAGUUCCUUACCAUUUGUGGACCCACUGAAUGCUUGAUUUUCAUAUUGGCUUUACCACUAUGAAGAGUUUUACCUCUUGAAUUCACUGAUUAAUGUUCUAAGCAGAAUGAAGCCCUUUUUUAUUUUUCUCAAAAUCUGCUACCAAAAAUCACAUUAUUUCAGCAUUCAAAGACAGUUCUUUGCUUUUUCAAAGACAUAUAAGACAGAUCUGUUCCAUGCUUCUCACAGGACUGUAGCAGUGUAACCUCAUAUGAUACAAAUGCUGAGCUUCUGUUUGAAAUAAUAGGGAUGAUGCCUAGUCCUGAACAGACAUCAGAAGGAUUUUAAAUAAAGGUUGUCACUGAGAGGCCUGUAAGCUGCCCUCACUUAGUUCUGUCUGGCCUGUGUUAGGGUGAAGACGAAGGGAUUUGAAUGUCUUAAUCGAAGCAAAGUGUGAGCUUUUUACCUUUAGCUCUUGUUACAUUUAAGGAUUCAUGCUGAAUAACAAUAAUAAAAGAUUAAUCCCAUCUGGUUUUCUGGUUGAUUGUUAGUUUAAUUUAGUGUAUGAUGACUCAAAGUUUAGUCUGCCAGCCAACAAAGGUAUGCAGUUAUCAACAUUACUGAUAGGAUAAACCAAUUAUGUAAGCUUAUUUUCAAAUCUCCCGAAAUCCCAUAAGACUUAAGCAAGUA